rnacentral:lncRNA from 1 species
AAGCUAAUGGUGAUCAGUCGGUCAUGCUUAGCAACACGCUGGCAGAUCUGAAUACAUACGUAGAAAAAGACCAAAUCUUUCGUAACGACGACGCCGUCAUUCUUCUCACAGGGCUUGACUUGGCCACGAAUUACGGCGCUGGAGUUGCUCCCCGCCGAAGUAUAGUAGGGCUAGCGAGACUCGCAGCUGCUUGCGGUGAAGGAAAGGCUGCGAUUGUGGAGGACAUGCCGCGGACGUUCAGCAGCGCUCCCACUAUGGCCCACGAGAUUGGA